GGCCCCAUGGUCUAGCGGUCGAGGACGCCUGGUUCUCAGCCAGGAGGACGGGGGUUCGAAUCCCCCUGGGGUCACCA
rnacentral:tRNA from 3 species